AUGAACAACCAGCCCCGGGACCCCCCCGGGUCCCCCCCGGUCCCCCCCGGUCCCCCCCGGGACCCCCCCGGUCCCCCCCCCGGUACCCCCCGGUACCCCCCGCGCAUCCGCGUCACCGGGUUAAUGUGGCCCCGGUACACCGGGUCAGGGCGACCGGUGGGGGGGUCAGGGCGACCGGGGGGGGUCACGGAACACCGGGGGGGGGGUCAGAGCGACCGGGGGGGUCGCGGUGCUGGGGGAAGGGUCGCCCUUCCCCCCCGUUCCCCCGGGACCCCCGCCCGGAGCCGUUCCGGGCAGGACCGGGAAGGACCGGGCAGGACCGGGAAGGACCGGGAAGGACCGGGAAGGACCGGGAAGGACCGGAGCCCGGCCCCACAUUGCUCAACCCCCCCCCCCCGCCACCCCCGGGGCUUCCCGGGGCUUCCCGGAGCUCCCCCCGGUCCGGCCGCAGCCGAAUUCCCCAAACGGCCCCGAGCGGGAAAAACCGCGGAACGGGGGAGGGGGGAGGGACUGGGAGCACUGGGGGCACUGGGGGCACUGGGAUGGGCACUGGGAGCACUGGGGGGACUGGGAGCACUGGGGGGACUGGGGGGACUGGGAGCACUGGGGGGACUGGGAGCACUGGGGGGACUGGGAGCACUGGGAUGGGCACUGGGAGCACUGGGAGCACUGGGGGGACUGGGAGCACUGGGGGAACUGGGGGGACUGGGAGGGACUGGGGGGACUGGGGGGACUGGGGGACUGGGAGCACUGGGGGGACUGGGAGCACUGGGGGGACUGGGAGCACUGGGGGCACUGGGGGGACUGGGGGGACUGGGGGGACUGGGGGGACUGGGAGGGACUGGGAGCACUGGGGGGACUGGGGGGACUGGGAGCACUGGGGGGACUGGGGGGACUGGGAGCACUGGGGGGACUGGGAGCACUGGGGGGACUGGGGGGACUGGGGGGACUGGAGGGGACUGGGAGCACUGGGAGCACUGGGAGCACUGGGGGGACUGGGAGCACUGGGGGGACUGGGGGGACUGGGGGGACUGGGGGGACUGGGAGCAGCACUGGGGGGCACUGGUUGUACUGGGGGUGCUGGUUGUUCUGGUUAUACUGGGAGCACUGGGGGGACUGGGGGGACUGGUUGUACUGGGAGCACUGGCUGUACUGGGAACACUGGCUGUACUGGUUAUACUGGGAGCACUGGGAGCACUGGGAGAGGCACUGGUUGUACUGGGAGCACUGGGGAGCACUGGUUGUACUGGGAGCACUGGGAGAGGCACUGGGGGCACGGGGAGCACUGGGGAGCACUGGCUGUACUGGUUAUACUGGUUGCACUGGGAGCGGCGCCGGGCCGCCAGGGGGCGCUGUCACCUUUAG
rnacentral:lncRNA from 1 species